UACAGAGGGUGCGAGCGUUAAUCGGAAUUACUGGGCGUAAAGGGCGCGUAGGCGGUCUGGUCAGUCGGAUGUAAAAGCCCCGGGCUUAACCUGGGAAUGCCAUUCGAUACUGCCCGACUUGAGUAUGGUAGAGGGAAGCGGAAUUCCGGGUGUAGCGGUGAAAUGCGUAGAGAUCCGGAGGAACACCAGUGGCGAAGGCGGCUUCCUGGACCAAUACUGACGCUGAGGCGCGAAAGCGUGGGGAGCAAACAGGAUUAGAUACCCUGGUAGUCCACGCCCUAAACGAUGAGAACUAGCCGUUGGGGGUAUUAAAACUUUUAGUGGCGAAGCUAACGCGAUAAGUUCUCCGCCUGG
rnacentral:rRNA from 1 species